rnacentral:lncRNA from 1 species
GGUUCUGAUAUUAUCUCUGCGCUCUGCAGCGUGCCAUGGGCACAUGAGAGGCUGACUGCAUAGAUAAAAGAACAAGAGGGUCAAAUGCAUUAACUGGGUGUGGUAUUGUAAAUGGUCACUUUUAGACCAACUUUUCAGUGAUAGACCCUCUCUAUGCUUUUUGUUGUAAGCUACUGUAGAUUCUUGCCACAGGUAUGAAGUAAAUUCUGU